UACGAAGGGACCUAGCGUAGUUCGGAAUUACUGGGCUUAAAGAGUUCGUAGGUGGUUGAAAAAGUUAGUGGUGAAAUCCCAGAGCUUAACUCUGGAACUGCCAUUAAAACUUUUCAGCUAGAGUAUGAUAGAGGAAAGCAGAAUUUCUAGUGUAGAGGUGAAAUUCGUAGAUAUUAGAAAGAAUACCAAUUGCGAAGGCAGCUUUCUGGAUCAUUACUGACACUGAGGAACGAAAGCAUGGGUAGCGAAGAGGAUUAGAUACCCUCGUAGUCCAUGCCGUAAACGAUGUGUGUUAGACGUUGGAAAUUUAUUUUCAGUGUCGCAGCGAAAGCGAUAAACACACCGCCUGGGGAGUACGACCGCAAGGUUAAAACUCAAAUGAAUUGACGGGGACCCGCACAAGUAGUGGAGCAUGUGGUUUAAUUCGAAGAUACGCGCAGAACCUUACCAACACUUGACAUGUUCGUCGCGACUCUAAGAGAUUAGAGUUUUCGGUUCGGCCGGACGAAACACAGGUGCUGCAUGGCUGUCGUCAGCUCGUGUCGUGAGAUGUUGGGUUAAGUCCCGCAACGAGCGCAACCCUCACUUUUAGUUGCCAUCAUUAAGUUGGGCACUCUGAAAGAACUGCCAGUGAUAAGCUGGAGGAAGGUGGGGAUGACGUCAAGUCCUCAUGGCCCUUACGUGUUGGGCUACACACGUGCUACAAUGGUAUCUACAACAGGAAGCAAGACUGCGAGGUCAAGCAAAUCCUUAAAAGAUACCUCAGUUCGGAUUGCACUCUGCAACUCGAGUGCAUGAAGCUGGAAUUACUAGUGAUCGUGGAUCAGCGUGCCACGGUGAAUGCGUUCCCGGGUCU
rnacentral:rRNA from 1 species